rnacentral:rRNA from 1 species
UACGUGAGGGACCAAGCGUUGUUCGGAUUUACUGGGCGUAAAGGGCGCGUAGGCGGCUUGACAAGUCACUUGUGAAAUCUCCGGGACUUAACUCGGAACGGCCAAGUGAAACUGUCAUGCUAGAGUGCAGAAGGGGCAAUCGGAAUUCUUGGUGUAGCGGUGAAAUGCGUAGAUAUCAAGAGGAACACCUGAGGUGAAGACGGGUUGCUGGGCUGACACUGACGCUGAGGCGCGAAAGCGUGGGGAGCGAACAGG